CACUUACCUGACCAGGGAAUCUUAGGCAGGUUGUAACACCGCUCAUUGUAGCCGAAACAAGAUGAUUUAAGUCACCAUAUGUGGGCGUGGUCAAUUUCAGGGUUCGGAAACAGAUGUCAUAUAAAGCUUCAUUAUCAAUACAAUAGGUUUCAUCUGUGUUUUCAACAAGUUGAUGUACUGAGAGGGUGGCAUUGUAUGGUUCAACAACUGUGUCUGAAACUUUAGGCGAGGGUACAACACUAUACGUGCACAUUAUUCUGUCGGGAUAUUCUUCGCGGAUUUUUGAAAUAAGCAAGGUGCCCAUUCCAGAGCCAGUACCACCUCCAAGAGAAUGUGUUAGUUGAAAACCUUGCAGGCAAUCACAGCCUUCAGCUUCUUUUCGAACCACAUCAAGAACAGAGUCUAUUAAUUCAGCUCCUUCUGUGUAAUGUCCCUUAGCCCAAUUGUUUCCAGCCCCACUUUGCCCUAAAACCAC